rnacentral:rRNA from 1 species
AGAGUUUGAUCAUGGCUCAGGAUGAACGCUAGCUACAGGCUUAACACAUGCAAGUCGAGGGGCAGCAUGUUGGUUGCUUGCAACCAAUGAUGGCGACCGGCGCACGGGUGAGUAACGCGUAUCCAACCUACCCUUGUCCAUCGGAUAACCCGUCGAGAGGCGGCCUAACACGAUAUGCGGUUCUCAGCAGGCAUCUAACGAGAACGAAAUGUGAAGGAGAAGGAUGGGGAUGCGUCUGAUUAGGCUUGUUGGCGGGUAACGGCCACAAGGCGACGAUCAGUAGGGGUUCUGAGAGGAAGGUCCCCCANAUUGGAACUGAGACACGGUCCAAACUCCUACGGGAGCA